rnacentral:rRNA from 1 species
AGCCGAACGCUUCUUUUUCCACCGGAGCUUGCUCCACCGGAAAAAGAAGAGUGGCGAACGGGUGAGUAACACGUGGGUAACCUGCCCAUCAGAAGGGGAUAACACUUGGAAACAGGUGCUAAUACCGUAUAACAAUCAAAACCGCAUGGUUUUGAUUUGAAAGGCGCUUUCGGGUGUCGCUGAUGGAUGGACCCGCGGUGCAUUAGCUAGUUGGUGAGGUAACGGCUCACCAAGGCCACGAUGCAUAGCCGACCUGAGAGGGUGAUCGGCCACAUUGGGACUGAGACACGGCCCAAACUCCUACGGGAGGCAGCAGUAGGGAAUCUUCGGCAAUGGACGAAAGUCUGACCGAGCAACGCCGCGUGAGUGAAGAAGGUUUUCGGAUCGUAAAACUCUGUUGUUAGAGAAGAACAAGGAUGAGAGUAACUGUUCAUCCCUUGACGGUAUCUAACCAGAAAGCCACGGCUAACUACGUGCCAGCAGCCGCGGUAAUACGUAGGUGGCAAGCGUUGUCCGGAUUUAUUGGGCGUAAAGCGAGCGCAGGCGGUUUCUUAAGUCUGAUGUGAAAGCCCCCGGCUCAACCGGGGAGGGUCAUUGGAAACUGGGAGACUUGAGUGCAGAAGAGGAGAGUGGAAUUCCAUGUGUAGCGGUGAAAUGCGUAGAUAUAUGGAGGAACACCAGUGGCGAA